AUUGAACGCUGGCGGCAGGCCUAACACAUGCAAGUCGAGCGGAGCGGCGGACGGGUGAGUAAGGCCUAGGAAUCUGCCUGGUCGUGGGGGGUAAGGUCCGGAAACGGAAGAUGAUACAGCAUACUAUACGCUGAGCCUAGGUUGGAUUAGCUAUGUGGUGGGGUAAAGGCCUACAAAGGCGACGAGCCGUAACUGGCAUGAGAGGAUGAUCAGUCACACUGGAACUGAGACACGGUCCAGACUCCGACGGGAGGCAGCAGUGGGGAAUAGUGGACAAUGGGCGAAAGCCUGAUCCAGCCAUGCCGCGUGUGUGAAGAAGGUCUUCGGAUUGUAAAGCACUUUAAGUUGGGAGGCGUUACCAACAGAAUAAGCACCGGCUAACUUCGUGCCAGCAGCCGCGGUAAUAC
rnacentral:rRNA from 1 species